UUGAGUUUAUGUUCACUUACUUGUGAGGUGAGUCAAGCAAAAGCAGCACAUACCAUAUUACUUUCUGGGAUUUCUUAAAUUAUUCUGAAGGGAGACAAGGUUAAUUGGCAAAUGAAUUAGAACUCAUGCAAGAUUCUUCCAUGUAAUAUGAGCUGCUGAGCAGCUGGCACUGUAUUAUUUUUUCUACUGCUCUGUUUUGCUAAUUAUCAAAUUUUUGGAGGGAUGAUAUACUAUUGCUG
rnacentral:misc_RNA from 1 species